GUGUGUGUGCGUGUGCGUGUGUGUAUAUAUAUAUAUAUAUACACACACACAUACAUACACACACACACACACACACAC
rnacentral:miRNA from 11 species